GGUCACAAAAAGACACAGAUCUUUUCUUUGCAACUUCCUGCAUAUAAAACUGCGUCCUUUUACAGGCAACCAUGUAUAUUCCAAGCGUGAUGAAGGGAUUAGAUCAUCGUAUCGUAAAUUAUGCUUACUUCCAACCCCAAAGGCAGACUUUCUAUGUGCUUGUCCCUUUGCUUCGAGGGUCAGCGAACUCUUCACUCUAUAUGACAGAGACAGCCUAGAAUCCAGGGGGAAAUUUGAAAGUCAAUCAAGGAAGGAACUGUAAGAUGGACAGAGCAAGGUCUCGUAGAAAUGCAUGAGAUUCGUUUCUCGCAAAUUACGAGAUACGGAAACGUUUAAAGUCAUCUACAGACGGAAAUCUGUUCAAGACAGUCGCGAACUUUAUAAUAUAAUGGAAUCGUUUUACAUAUUUACGGAGAAACAACACAACACAGUUUUCGUCUAUGAAUACGAAAUAAAAAAUUUCAAUAAAAAUUAUAUUAAUCCUUUCGGUACGAGUUGUUUUUUAACAUCGAUCGUAUAAAGCAGUAAAGCAUGUGCGUGGCCUGAAUACAUUUCCGGUCUCUUUAUAACGAUUGUGAACAAAUAAUGUAAAAAUAACCUUCAAAACUAUAACGUAUAUUUCCAGAUAAAGAAAAUAAUCAUAGACUUCGCUGGAUGCAUAAGCAUUCAUAAAUCACAUCAAUGGAAUUUUUUCUGAUAAAUAUGUAUUUCUCCUGUAGAAAAGUAUGAGAUGACUUGUUUGUUUGUAAGAAAUGUUCAAGAGCAGUUAUGAAAUCAUUUACGGAUUUCACUACGUUUUACAUAUUCGAAACUUUCCAUGUUUGCAUUCCCUUUCUGUCUCUCCUUUCUCAUGAAUACUUGAAUACACGAUUUUUUCAAAUGUAAUAAAAGAAAA